AAAUAAUCGAAGACUGGAAAGCAAGAAAAUCCUGCUAUUGGAUAGUAAUAUUAAAUCAGAAUAUACCACAGGAACAAUAUUCCAAUCGAGUUGUUGCUUUGAAUCAACAGACUCGUACCUUGUUGUCUAGUUUAGGAGCAUGGCAACAUAUAAAGGCAGUACGAUAUUGUCCAGUACGAUCGAUCCAGUAGGUAUGGGACGCAAUCGGACGCUAUGAUAACGUUCAAGGAGGAUCUUGUCUGAGGAAUACAAUUGGCAUACAUAGUUGAAAAUGAUCUAGUGUUGCAUGCUGUCAACAUGCAACUUUCUCAGACAACUUUCUCAGAAAGAGAAUGUGACUGUGAUUCACGAAUCUAAGAUCACCGAUGUAAAACUCCUCAAGAAAUUAACCGAAUUUACCUCUAUAAAGAUGGAAUCAGAUAAACGGUACACAGCUGGAUUACUGGUGCAUGUCGUUAGUAAUUCAACUAUGCGAAAAAAGAUGUAUAUGUCCUAUCUAAACUGGCAGCACGAUUUUUGCAAUUCUCAAACUCUCCAAGGUAAUAUUAUCUUUAAAAGUUGCUCGUUGAUAUUUGAAUUUCUUGAGAAAUUGUAAUAUUCCUCAAUCAAUUUCAGUCUACGGAGAACAUCGCCACUUGGCAGAGGUUUCUUCUAAUCGGACUUAUUAUCACGUUGCUUGAGCAAGCCAUGUCAUAAAUUGUGUUGGCGAUUCGCUGAGAAAUUAUUGACCAAAAAAUCGAAGAAUCUUAUGAUUCUAUCAGUUCGUUUUGUUCGUAACAACCGAGAGAGACAAAAAACCGUUAAAAAUUUUGGAAGAGGAAUAUAAGCAAUGACUAUCUAAAGAACGGUAUCGUGAGCAGGAUGCAGGCGUUUCACUAACUGCUUGUAAAUCUGUCCCUCUAGACUGAAUUGCCUUUGUAGUAUGAAUCACGGCAUACAAUCACGGUGUUGAAGGGGGAAGAAAAUUUUCAAUAUUAAGAGUGAUCUCGAUUGAAGGAAUAUAGCUAAAUAGAUCAUGUAACACGCGAAUCAAAUCUCAAUGAAAAU